GAUGAAGAACGUAGCGAAAUGCGAUAAGUAAUGUGAAUUGCAGAAUUCAGUGAAUCAUCGAAUCUUUGAACGCACAUUGCGCCCCCUGGUAUUCCGGGGGGCAUGCCUGUCCGAGCGUCAUUACAACCCUCAAGCUCUGCUUGGUGUUGGGCCCCGCCGCCCCGGCGGGCCCUAAAGUCAGUGGCGGUGCCAUCCGGCUCCGAGCGUAGUAAUUCUUCUCGCUCUGGAGGUCCGGUUGUGUGCUUGCCAUCAACCCCCAAUUUUUUUCAGGUUGACCUCGGAUCAGGUAGGGAUACCCGCUGAACUUAAGAAUAUCAAUAAGCGGAGGA
rnacentral:misc_RNA from 1 species